GACCGGAAGUUGUACCUGUUGCGGGAUUCCGUAGUCUCACAAAACUUGGGUCACUGUCCUUCCCCUGUGCGUCUAUGGCGGAGUCUGAGGGCACCACAAGUACAGUCAGGAACUUGCUGAAUCCCCACGCCGCUGGACCAUUCACCCGGAUGACAUCAUCCUUGGCUCCCGGCGUGCCAACUCUGCUCAAUAAAGCCCAGGCGUGUUUUUUCGGGAGUGUGGGAGUGCCUCUGGUGCACUGAGACGAGAGGGCUUUGCAAAGUCUGAGUGGACGUGUGCAGCGUGUUGUCAACACAUGCACUAAUGGAUGUAGUUGAUGAUGAUGAUGAUGUUGUGGCGAUGCCGUAGCAGCACGGAAUGGUUUGUGGGUUACACUGAGAUGCAGGCCAUGCUGUGCUGCCACAGUAAAGCUCGAUCUGCUCGCCCGUCUCCGGGAUGAUUUCCUCCAUCUGCCGCAAACGAGAAAGACGCUGACAGUACCUUCAGCAUCAGGUCACUUCACUGUAGCAGCACGUAAAUAUUGGAGUGGACUCUCUAAGCCGAAGCCUCCAGUAUUGAUCGUGCUGCUGAAGCAAAGCUGACCACUCGCUUGCUGGAAACAACCAUGGUUCAGUUCAGUUUCAGUUUAUUUCGAACAUGCAUACGAUACAAUGUAAUGUGGUGUUUGGUUUUAAUGUCGUCACAAAUAAACCUGUA